rnacentral:rRNA from 1 species
GACGAACGCUGGCGGCGUGCUUAACACAUGCAAGUCGAACGGAAAGGCCCCUUUGGGGGUACUCGAGUGGCGAACGGGUGAGUAACACGUGAGUAACCUGCCCUUGAUUUCGGGAUAACUUCAGGAAACUGGGGCUAAUACCGGAUAGGAAUCCUUGCUGCAUGGUGGGGGUUGGAAAGCUUCGGCGGUUUUGGAUGGACUCGCGGCUUAUCAGCUUGUUGGUGGGGUAGUGGCUUACCAAGGCUUUGACGGGUAGCCGGCCUGAGAGGGCGACCGGCCACAUUGGGACUGAGAUACGGCCCAGACUCCUACGGGAGGCAGCAGUGGGGAAUAUUGCACAAUGGGCGGAAGCCUGAUGCAGCAACGCCGCGUGCGGGAUGACGGCCUUCGGGUUGUAAACCGCUUUCAGCAGGGGCGAAGCUUGUGGUGACGGUACCUGCAGAAGAAGCACCGGCUAACUACGUG